CCUACGGGAGGCAGCAGUGAGGAAUAUUGGUCAAUGGACGAGAGUCUGAACCAGCCAAGUAGCGUGAAGGAUGACUGCCCUAUGGGUUGUAAACUUCUUUUAUAUGGGAAUAAAAUGUUCCACGUGUGGGCUUUUGUAUGUACCAUAUGAAUAAGGAUCGGUUAACUCCGUGCCAGCAGCCGCGGUAAUACGGAGGUUCCGAGCGUUUUCCGGAUUUAUUGGGUUUAAAGGGGGCGUAGGUGGAUUGUUAAGUCCGGUGUGAAAGUUGGAGGGUCAAACGUAAAAUAGCAGUUGAAACUGGCAGUCUUGAGUACAGUAGAGGUGGGCGGAAUGCGUGGUGUAGCGGUGAAAUGCUUAGAUAUCACGAAGAACUCCGAUUGCGAAGGCAGCUCACUGGACUGCAACUGACACUGAGGCACGAAAGUGUGGGUAUCAAACAGGAUUAGAUACCCGUGUAGUC
rnacentral:rRNA from 1 species